GUCUCAGACCAUUUCCUGUUGCUUAGGGAUCAAGAUUUAAGAACUGUCAGCUCCUUCUCCAGCACCAUGUCUGCCUGCGUGCUGUUUUUCUUCCUGCCAUGAUGGUAAUAGAGUAAACUCCUGAACUGGAACAGGAUGAAAAAGCUCAGAGAGCCACGACCCUUAGUGACACCACUGAAGAGAACAUUUAGGAACUUCUAUUAGAAAAGCAGGAAUCUGCAAGGACUGAAGCCUGUGUGGUGGGCAGAUGUGUGGGACAGCUGGCUUUCCAAGCUUAGAAGAGCCUGGUUCAUUGGAGAAGCCAAGACGCCAGGGCAUUUAAGGAUGCUCCUGCCAGGCCUGAUGGGCUGCUCUCCAAGUGUAGAGACAGUAAACAGGGCUGACUGCUUCCAAGAAAACCAAGCCCAGCUCUAAGCGUGCCAGGAUCACUUUGCCAGAGAAAGUCAGGCAUGAGUGAGCGGACACAUUUGGAGUGACCAUGUAUUUGUCCUCAGGGAUACUGAGGUGAAUGUGCUAACUGGGACUGGACGUAAGGCAGAAUUUCUCUUUUGUAUGUGCACAUGUGUUCACACGCAUAUG